rnacentral:lncRNA from 1 species
UGGGACUACAGGCACCCGCCACAACGCCAGCAAAUUUUUUGUAUUUUUAGUAGAGACAGGGUUUCACUGUGUUAGCUAGGCUGGUCUCAAUCUCCUGACCUCGUGAUCUGCCUGCCUCGGCCUCCCAGAGUGCUGGGAUUACAGGUAUGAGCCGCUGCGCCCAGACCCGUGAAUAUUCUUAAUUCAAGGCAAUGUGUUUGUUUGCAUACAGGCAAGCAGGGUCACUAGGACCGCUCAGGGAGAGAGAAUCUAGAAACCUGGCACACAGGCAAAAGGGUCAGAUUUCCUUCCAACAGACUGAAGGUGGGUGUCGCCCUAUGUUCCUGGGAAGAAAAGUUCCAGUGCCACAAAUCCAUCUGCAAGUCCUGCUGUGUCACUUCGAGGACUGUAAGUAAAAGAACUGGAGAGACAGAGCAAGAUGCCUGGACUUGGAGAACCAAAAUAGAUCUGGAUAUGCAAGACAAUAGAUGCUGCAGGAGAAGAGAAAAAACAAUUCAGAUUUCCUAAUUAGAGAAGAAUCGAUGGAGGAGAGGAGACUUAAACUGGGCCUCCAACAACUCACAGAACUUGAAGAGUUGGAAGUAUGUGUCAGUGUAUCUGUAUAUGAGGAUGUAUACAGCAGUAGGGAAUGGGAGAGUUGCAGAAAGAUUUUAAGAAGGAG